UGAGGCAGGAGAGUGGCUUGAAUCCGGGAGGAGGAGGUUGCAGUGAGCCGAGAUUGUGCCACUGCACUCCAGCCUGGGUGACAGAGAGAGAUUCCAUCUCAAAAAAACAAGUUAUUAAAAAUGUAUAUGAAUGCUCCUAAUAUGGUCAGGAAGCAAGGAAGCGAAGGAUAUAUUAUGAGUUUUAAGAAGGUGCUUAGCUGUAUAUUUAUCUUUCAAAAUGUAUUAGAAGAUUUUAGAAUUCUUUCCUUCAUGUGCCAUCUCUACAGGCACCCAUCAGAAAAAGCAUACUGCCGUUACCGUGAAACUGGUUGUAAAAGAGAAACUAUCUAUUUGCACCUUAAAAGACAGCUAGAUUUUGCUGAUUUUCUUCUUUCGGUUUUCUUUGUCAGCAAUAAUAUGUGAGAGGACAGAUUGUUAGAUAUGAUAGUAUAAAAAAUGGUUAAUGACAAUUCAGAGGCGAGGAGAUUCUGUAAACUUAAAAUUACUAUAAAUGAAAUUGAUUUGUCAAGAGGAUAAAUUUUAGAAAACACCCAAUACCUUAUAACUGUCUGUUAAUGCUUGCUUUUUCUCUACCUUUCUUCCUUGUUUCAGUUGGGAAGCUUUUGGCUGCAAGUAACAGAAACUCCUAAUUCAAAUGGCUUAAGCAAUAAGGAAAUGUAUAUUCCCACAUAACUAGACGUUCAAACAGGCCAGGCUCCAGCACUUCAGUACGUCACCAGGGAUCUGGGUUCUUCCCAGCUCUCUGCUCUGCCAUCUUUAGCGCUGGCUUCAUUCUCAGACUCUGGUAGCAUGAUGGCUGUAGCUGUUUCAUGGGCCCCUUCAAACCUCAUAGCAACCAGAGGAAGAAAAUGAGCCAUUUUUUGAGUCUCCUUCAUAGACUUGAAUAACUCUUUUUCAGAGCUUCUCACAGCAAACCUCUCCUCAUGUCUCCUCAUGUCUUAUUGUUCAGAAAUGGGUAAUGUGGCCAUUUCACCAGUCACUGCCAACAACAACGAGGUUCCUAUAAUUGUCUCUGAGUAACCCUUUGGAAUGGAGAGGGUGUUGGUCAGUCUACAAACUGAACACUGCAGUUCUGCGCUUUUUACCAGUGAAAAAAUGUAAUUAUUUUCCCCUCUUAAGGAUUAAUAUUCUUCAAAUGUAUGCCUGUUAUGGAUAUAGUAUCUUUAAAAUUUUUUAUUUUAAUAGCUUUAGGGGUACACACUUUUUGCUUACAGGGGUGAAUUGUGUAGUGGUGAAGACUCGGCUUUUAAUGUACUUGUCACCUGAGUGAUGUACAUUGUACCCAAUAGGUAAUUUUUCAUCCAUUACCCUCCUUCCGCCCUCUUCCCUUCUGAGUCUCCAACAUCCCUUAUACCACUGUGUAUGUUCUUGUGUACCUACAGCUAAGCUUCCACUUAUAAGUGAGAACAUGCAGUAUUUGGUUUUCCAUUCCUGAGUUACUUCCCUUAGGAUAACAGCCCCCAGUUCCGUCCAAGUUGCUGCAAAAUACAUUAUUCUUCUUUAUGGCUGAGUAAUAGUCCAUGGUACAUAUAUACCACAUUUUCUUUAUCCACUUAUCAGUUGAUGGACACUUAGGUUAAUUCCAUUCAAUUUCAUUCAAUUUAAGUAUAUUUGUAAGGAGCUAAAGCUGAAAAUUAAAUUUUAGAUCUUUCAAUACUCUUAAAUUUUAUAUGUAAGUGGUUUUUAUAUUUUCACAUUUGAAAUAAAGUAAUUUUUAUAAUCUU
rnacentral:lncRNA from 1 species